GACGAACGCUGGCGGCGUGCUUAACACAUGCAAGUCGAACGGAAAGGCCCUGCUUUUGUGGGGUGCUCGAGUGGCGAACGGGUGAGUAACACGUGAGUAACCUGCCCUUGACUUUGGGAUAACUUCAGGAAACUGGGGCGAAUACCGGAUAGGAGCUCCUGCUGCAUGGUGGUGGUUGGAAAGUUUCGGCGGUUGGGGAUGGACUCGCGGCUUAUCAGCUUGUUGGUGGGGUAGUGGCUUACCAAGGCUUUGACGGGUAGCCCGCCUGAGAGGGUGACCGGCCACAUUGGGACUGAGAUACGGCCCAGACUCCUACGGGAGGGAGCAGUGGGGAAUAUUGAACAAUGGGCGGCAGCCUGAUGCAGCAACUCCGCGUGCGGGAUGACGGCCUUAGGGUUGUAAACCGCUUUCGCCUGUGACGAAGCGUGAGUGACGGUAAUGGGUAAAGAAGCACCGGCUAACUACGUG
rnacentral:rRNA from 1 species